rnacentral:lncRNA from 1 species
UGAAUCCGCCCUAAGCGCAGGGUCUUGCAUUCUUAGGAUCAUGUUUUUGGGGUCCUGCUGUCAUCCAUCCAAUAAAACACCCUGGUUCUACCUCGAGACUGGUGUCGUCAUUCCUCUGCUCCUGCGCCAGCCCAUCGAUAAUUGGGAGCAGCAGAGCUCACAGGGGGAAUGUCGCACGCCAGCUGUCACUGCGGAAUUUUAGUUUUCUCUGUGGACCGAUUAUGAUGAGCACUGAUGGGACAUUCUCCUUAUCCAGUUUAAGCAUCUGCUUUACUGUGACAUCUUACCUCCAGCAAAGUGGGAAGUUGAGCAGCUGCUUGCAGAACCAAAGCCAGUCUUCUGCCUGGGAUCAGUUGGCAAGGAUUUAUGUGAAAGAAUGAUGUACAGCUGAUCACCUCACUGUAUUGUGCCUGAGAACAUUCUGGUAACAGUCACAGUGAUGGUCCUGGACUGGAAGAUGGCUGAGACACCGCUGCUGUUUCUGUACUUCUGUACUGGACAGGCUGAAGCUUCUGCCUGAAUUUGAGCUGAAAGAGUCUGUGAUGUGUGAUGAGACCACGAUGAAGCAGAGAUCCAUUUGCAGCCCAUGGAGGACUCCCAUGUCAAAGCAAGUGAAUGCCAGAAGGAGGUGAAUGUGACAUGUGAGAUGCCUCUCCUAGAGCAGGUUUGCUGGCAGGACUUGUGACCUCAUGGGGAACCCACACUGGAGCAAUUUGUGAAGAGCUACAGCCCAUGGGAAGGGUCCAUGUAGGAGACAUUUAAGCAGGACUGCUUCCCAUGGGUGGACCCCACCCCGGAGUAGGGGAAGCCAAGCUUCACUUGCAGCCCAUGGUGAAGAUCAUGAUGAAGCAGACUGUACCCCUGCAGUCGACAGAAGACUAAGACAUGUACUGUAUUAAUGGUGGACUAUAGCAGGAACCCCUUGUUGCAGACAGGCUGGGGACAAGGGGAGGAGUUCAUUACCAUGUUAAACUGGAUGACCUGGCUCAAAAGGACCAAGGCUGGAAAUUGUAAUGAAUAUACCUUUUCAUUGUUUAUACAGCACCUAAGGCAGGUGGAAGUUUGUGGAAUUUUCUCAGACCUUUGAAUAAAAAUAGUUUGUUUGAAGUAUAGUUUUUAUUAAUUAGUAAUUGUUUCUGGUAAGCUAUUCCUGCAGUGAUACGGGGAAAAUAUAGGUUUUUUCCUGAUUGUUCAUUACACAAUGAAAAUGUUAUGCCAUUAGAAAAAUAGAUCACAUUUUACAUCUCUCUACUUAAUCUGCUAGAUAUUGUUGAGUAGGAGACUUUGUGUAAUACUCUUCCCCAGAAAAUCCAGUUUUCUUUGUUGUGGUUAUGGAGGAAUACUAGAAAAGUAUGCAAUUUAAUAACAGAACAAAGAGCUGAAUAUGGUGCUAAAGUCAUUUGUGUAAUAUCUCUGACUGGAAGGAAAGAAACAAGAUAUGCACACGGUCCAGCUAAAAUGUAGCUCCCAUUCACAACACAGAGAUGGAGCUGUACACAAAAGUUGGAGAGGGGGGACUUACGAAGUUCUCUUGAUUCAUAUGGAUUGGAGCACUUGAAAACUUUUUUUCUAGAGUUGAGAACAUAUAUAAAAGUACUGGGGAGUAGAGGAUAAUAGAAUAGAGAUACAGAAAGAUUCUUGGAAGAGAAACAGAAAUCUAAUUCUGCUACUUAGCUUAAAAACCUAGUAAAAAUAAGAUUGGGACAACAAUGAAAACUGAAAAAUUAUAAGAGCAGUCCAUUAACAUUAUUUAUAGAAUGUACUUUGGUAAUUUCUCUGAGCCACAUCUUAAACCCAAAAGGGCAUUGCAGCGAAAAGCUAAAUGCGGUAAAAGAAUAAUUGAAACAUUAUUUUAAGGGCUGUUUAUAUAAAUUUUGGUUUUAUUGGAAACAGGAAAUGAAAAACAUAAAUAGUGAAAAAUCUUAUCUCUUACAAUAUUUAAAACCAGAAAUUUGUAUUGAGUAUUUUAAGACAAAAAUACAUCCUUAUUUGUAACAUUGAGUUUUUUCAAGAUGUAUGGACUGAAUAGAAUUUAGAACAGAAAAACUGGAAAGGGCAGGCUUACACUAAUCUCUUUGGAUCUGUAAAUGCAGAAAAUUUUUUUAAAAAUUGUGUACACCAAGCACAAUUUGGUAAGCAAAACUAAGGUAUAAAAAUAUAGUGCUUACAUACCGGUUUUGUAGGAUUUUUUGUUUUCAGACAUGCUUAAUAUUUGAAAAUAAUUUCUGUGGCAAGUAACAUAUUAACAGUUUAGCUAGAUUAAAAAAAAACAAAAAACAAAAAA